rnacentral:rRNA from 1 species
CAGCCGCCGCGGUAAUACGAGGGGGGCAAGCGUUGUUCGGAAUUAUUGGGCGUAAAGGGUGCGUAGGCGGUUUGAUAAGUCUUGUGUGAAAUCUCUGGGCUCAACCCAGAGUCUGCACAGGAAACUGUCGGGCUUGAGUAUUGGAGAGGUGAGUGGAAUUUCCGGUGUAGCGGUGAAAUGCGUAGAUAUCGGAAGGAACACCUGUGGCGAAAGCGGCUCACUGGACAAUUACUGACGCUGAUGCACGAAAGCUAGGGGAGCAAACAGGAUUAGAUACCCCAGUAGUCCCUGUCUCUUAUAC